ACGAGCAGAUGUUAAGAUUUCUGCUUAGUGGCGGACGGGUGAGUAACGCGUGGGUACCUGCCUCACACAGGGGGAUAACAGUUGGAAACGACCGCUAAUACCGCAUAACGCCGCAUGGCAAAAGAUUUAUCGGUGUGAGAUGGACCCGCGUUGGAUUAGCUAGUUGGCAGGGUAACGGCCUACCAAGGCGACGAUCCAUAGCCGGCCUGAGAGGGUGAACGGCCACAUUGGGACUGAGACACGGCCCAAACUCCUACGGGAGGCAGCAGUGGGGAAUAUUGCACAAUGGGGGAAACCCUGAUGCAGCGACGCCGCGUGAGUGAAGAAGUAUUUCGGUAUGUAAAGCUCUAUCAGCAGGGAAGAAAAUGACGGUACCUGACUAAGAAGCCCCGGCUAACUACGUGCCAGCAGCCGCGGUAAUACGUAGGGGGCAAGCGUUAUCCGGAAUUACUGGGUGUAAAGGGAGCGUAGGCGGCACGCCAAGCCAGAUGUGAAAGCCCGAGGCUUAACCUCCGGAUUGCAUUUGGAACUGGCGAGCUAGAGUACAGGAGAGGAAAGCGGAAUUCCUAGUGUAGCGGUGAAAUGCGUAGAUAUUAGGAAGAACACCAGUGGCGAAGGCGGCUUUCUGGACUGAAACUGACGCUGAGGCUCGAAAGCGUGAGGAGCAAACAGGAUUAGAUACCCUGGUAGUCCACGCCGUANACGAUGAGUGCUAGGUGUCG
rnacentral:rRNA from 1 species